UACGGAGGAUUCGAGCGUUAUCCGGAUUUAUUGGGUUUAAAGGGUGCGUAGGCGGCCUGUUAAGUCAGGGGUGAAAGACGGUAGCUCAACUAUCGCAGUGCCCUUGAUACUGAUGGGCUUGAAUGUACUAGAGGUAGGCGGAAUGUGACAAGUAGCGGUGAAAUGCAUAGAUAUGUCACAGAACACCAAUUGCGAAGGCAGCUUACUAUGGUAUAAUUGACGCUGAGGCACGAAAGCGUGGGGAUCAAACAGG
rnacentral:rRNA from 1 species